GGGCCCGUAGCUCAGUUGGUUAGAGCAGAGGACUCAUAAUCCUUUGGUCGCUGGUUCGAAUCCAGCCGGGCCCA
rnacentral:tRNA from 1 species